rnacentral:rRNA from 1 species
GACGUAGUUUGAUCAUGGCUACGAGAACGACGCUGGCGGCAGGCUUAACACAUGCAAGUCGAACGCCCCGCAAGGGGAGUGGCAGACGGGUGAGUAACGCGUGGGAAUCUACCCAACUCUACGGAAUAACUCAGGGAAACUUGUGCUAAUACCGUAUACGCCCUUCGGGGGAAAGAUUUAUCGGAGUUGGAUGAGCCCGCGUUGGAUUAGCUAGUUGGUGGGGUAAAGGCCUACCAAGGCGACGAUCCAUAGCUGGUCUGAGAGGAUGAUCAGCCACACUGGGACUGAGACACGGCCCAGACUCCUACGGGAGGCAGCAGUGGGGAAUAUUGGACAAUGGGCGCAAGCCUGAUCCAGCCAUGCCGCGUGAGUGAUGAAGGCCCUAGGGUUGUAAAGCUCUUUCACCGGUGAAGAUAAUGACGGUAACCGGAGAAGAAGCCCCGGCUAACUUCGUG